CAGUCGCCACGGGAAUACGAAGGGUGCAAGCGUUACUCGGAAUUACUGGGCGUAAAGCGUGCGUAGGUGGUGGUUUAAGUCCGUUGUGAAAGCCCUGGGCUCAACCUGGGAAUUGCAGUGGAUACUGGAUCACUAGAGUGUGGUAGAGGAUAGUGGAAUUUCCGGUGUAGCAGUGAAAUGCGUAGAGAUCGGAAGGAACAUCUGUGGCGAAGGCGACUAUCUGGGCCAACACUGACACUGAGACACGAAAGCGUGGGGAGCAAACAGGAUUAGAUACCCGCGUAGUCCCUGUCUCUUAUAC
rnacentral:rRNA from 1 species